rnacentral:rRNA from 1 species
CCUACGGGGGGCAGCAGUGAGGAAUAUUGGUCAAUGGACGAGAGUCUGAACCAGCCAAGUAGCGUGAAGGAUGACUGCCCUAUGGGUUGUAAACUUCUUUUAUAUGGGAAUAAAAUGUUCCACGUGUGGGUUUUUGUAUGUACCAUAUGAAUAAGGAUCGGCUAACUCCGUGCCAGCAGCCGCGGUAAUACGGAGGAUCCGAGCGUUAUCCGGAUUUAUUGGGUUUAAAGGGAGCGUAGGUGGAUUGUUAAGUCAGUUGUGAAAGUUUGCGGCUCAACCGUAAAAUUGCAGUUGAAACUGGCAGUCUUGAGUACAGUAGAGGUGGGCGGAAUUCGUGGUGUAGCGGUGAAAUGCUUAGAUAUCACGAAGAACUCCGAUUGCGAAGGCAGCUCACUGGACUGCAACGGACACUGAGGCUCGAAAGUGUGUGUAUCAAACAGGAUUAGAUACCCCAGUAGUC